rnacentral:tRNA from 1 species
UCCCUGGUGGUCUAGUGGUUAGGACUCAGUGCUUUCACCCCUAUGGCCCAAGGUCAAUCCUUGGGCUGGGAA